rnacentral:misc_RNA from 1 species
AAUUCUCAACCACACUAAUUUUUAUUGGUGUGGCUUGGAUUAUGGGGUUUCUGCAGGCUUUAAAACCAGCUUCCCUGAAAUGCAUUAGUGGUAUCUGAGCAGACUACAGGUGUGAUAACUAUCUAUGCCUUUGCUGAAAACAGAUUACACUGCUUCAAACAACAAACUAUUGUUUUU